rnacentral:rRNA from 1 species
UACACUCCUGCGGGAGGCAGCAGUGGGGAAUAUUGCACAAUGGGCGCAAGCCUGAUGCAGCCAUGCCGCGUGUAUGAAGAAGGCCUUCGGGUUGUAAAGUACUUUCAGCGGGGAGGAAGGCAAUACGGUUAAUAACCGUGUUGAUUGACGUUACCCGCAGAAGAAGCACCGGCUAACUCCGUGCCAGCAGCCGCGGUAAUACGGAGGGUGCAAGCGUUAAUCGGAAUUACUGGGCGUAAAGCGCACGCAGGCGGUCUGUCAAGUCGGAUGUGAAAUCCCCGGGCUCAACCUGGGAACUGCAUUCGAAACUGGCAGGCUUGAGUCUUGUAGAGGGGGGUAGAAUUCCAGGUGUAGCGGUGAAAUGCGUAGAGAUCUGGAGGAAUACCGGUGGCGAAGGCGGCCCCCUGGACAAAGACUGACGCUCAGGUGCGAAAGCGUGGGGAGCAAACAGGAUUAGAAACCCCGGUAGUCCC